rnacentral:rRNA from 1 species
UACGGAGGGGGCUAGCGUUGUUCGGAAUUACUGGGCGUAAAGCGCACGUAGGCGGCUUUGUAAGUUAGAGGUGAAAGCCCGGAGCUCAACUCCGGGAAUUGCCUUUAAGACUGCAUCGCUCGAAUCAUGGAGAGGUGAGUGGAAUUCCGAGUGUAGAGGUGAAAUUCGUAGAUAUUCGGAAGAACACCAGUGGCGAAGGCGACUCACUGGACAUGUAUUGACGCUGAGGUGCGAAAGCGUGGGGAGCAAACAGGG